GUGAAUACCUUGGCUUAACCAAGGAAGGGCAUUUGAAACUGCUUGGCUUGAGUACGGGAGGGGGAAGCGGAAUUCCCGGUGUAGAGGUGAAAUCCGUAGAUAUCGGGAGGAACACCAGAGGCGAAGGCGGCUUUCUGGACCGACACUGACGCUGAGACGCGAAAGCGUGGGGAGCAAACAGGAUUAGAUACCCUGGUAGUCCACGCCCUAAACGUUGGGCACUAGGUGUUGCGGGUAUUGACCCCUGCAGUGCCAAGGGCGAAUUCCACAGUGGAU
rnacentral:rRNA from 1 species